rnacentral:rRNA from 1 species
CCUACGGGCGGCAGCAGUGGGGAAUAUUGGGCAAUGGGCGCAAGCCUGACCCAGCAACGCCGCGUGAGGGAAGAAGGCUUUCGGGUUGUAAACUUCUUUUGUCAGGGACGAAGCACGUGACGGUCCCUCACGAAUAAGCCACGGCUAACUACGUGCCAGCAGCCGCGGUACUACGUAGGUGGCAAGCGUUAUCCGGAGUUACUGGGUGUAAAGGUCGUGUAGGCGGGACUGCAAGUCAGAUGUGAACACCCCGGGCUCAACCUGGGGCCUGCAUUGGAAACUGUAGUUCUUGAGUCCGGGAGGGGCAGACGGAAUUCCUAGUGUAGCGGUGAAAUGCGUAGAUAUUAGGAGGAACACCGGUGGCGAAGGCGGUCUGCUGGACAGCAACUGACGCUGAGGCGCGAAAGCGUGGGGAGCAAACAGGAUUAGAUACCCUUGUAGUC